GUUUUUGUCACUUUUUAUGGAAUCAAACUCAAAAUAAGUAAUAGCUGCUGUUUGCCCUGAAAUGAGAGCCAAGGCGGAGGAAUGUGUGGCGGAACACCAGCACAAAUUUGAUGAAGCUCACCUCAGAGGUGGAACACAGGUGAAGGAGGACACUUUUAACGGUUGGUGCAGAUUCACAGCGCUUUCUUUAAAACUGGCUUAAGGUGUUUUUGAGUUUCUGUGAUCUAUUAAAUAUUACCUCAUCAAUCAUCAAUCGUGUGGCAUCAAUGUGGUGAAAUUCCGACUUGCAUCACUCGGUUCUCCUCCACCUGUUUCAAUGUCAUGACACAUACAGGUGUACACGCAUCCUGACAAACACUGCAGGCUUUCUGCCUCCUGCUGUUACUGCAGCACAUCAAACACUCUCUCUCACACACACACAUACACACUUCAUGUAUUGCAUCAUGUGUAAAUGUGCAUAAACACCCUCUCUGUCAGCGUGUUUGUGCGUUCAGGCGGUGUGAGCGAGCUAAAGUGACAGCCCGCUGACCAAACUCCUGCCGCUGUUGCCAUCGCCGCCACUGAAUACCAAAGAGCAGCUCCCACUGAGCGUAAACACAGGGCGCAGCAGGGCCGUGACAGAUGACGACAGCGCUGCUGCUCCUGAGCACCUCCGGCAUCAGACGCUGAACGUCAGUGGAGGGAAGAUCAUUACAGGCAGAAGGCAGGAAAGGAGACAAUAUGGAGAUAGGAGGAGCAGGGUGAAGCGCUCUAACAGCCUCACCACAGGAUGCUGGCCUCGGAGGCGGAGUCAGCCCGUCAUGCAAAGUCGACUCGCCUGAGUCUGCUGUGGAAGGUGGAGGCAGUCAACUCCUCUCCUCUCAACUCUUCUUACUGUGGUUUCAAGCUGGUGCAGGUCAGGUUCCUUCAAGUUUUUUGGCCAGCAGGUGACAGAGGCCUUCGCCGGCCUUUACACCUCAGACGCAGCAGCUCCACCACAGAGCUCCUCCAUCACUUAGUUUUCACGUAUGAAGUGACUCUGUGUACCUCCACCCGGACCGCUGCCCCUUUUUCCCCUCCCCAGGAUCCGUUCAUGGACUCUUGUAUCUAGCCAUAGCGCACAGUUUGAGCUUCAUGUUUCAUAGUUAUGCCUCAUAGUUCAUAGUUCAUAGCCUACAUAAUUCAGAGUUCAAAGCCUUCAUAGUUUCUGGCAUUGUAAUUACAUUAGUCACUGUAAA